AAGCAUUUGUCUAAGUUGAACUGAGAUGAAGGGAGGCGUGUGGUGUGUUUCUGUUUGGAGUGGCAUAUGAUUACCCUCUCAUUUGCUCUCAGCUCUUCCCACUCGCUACAUCUCUCCGUCUCUCCAUCCUUCCAUCUCUCCCCUCCUCCCUCUACAUCUCUCCAUCCUUCCAUCUCUCCCCUCCUCCCUCUCAUCUCUCCCCUCCUCCCUCCAUCUGUCUGUGUUUGGAUUUCACAGUAAUAACCUGUUGCAUUCAGGGGCAGACUGACACAUAGGCAGACCUCUAUAGCAUCUAAACAACUGACACACUUUUUCAACACAACACACAUUCACACAGCUUUGGAGAGACAGAUGAUUUAGUCUGUGGUUUACUACUCAAUGUUAGUACACAGUGAGUUGGUUUUGAGGUUGUGUGGCUGGUUGACUGGCUGGGAUGGGACGAUGUAGUGUCUAGCAUUCUACACAGACAGAAGGAAGACAACAUAAAGAUGACGGGGCAGGUGUUGGGUGAGGGCACUGAGCUGGCGUCUCAGAGGCUGUCAGUGAAGACAUGGCUGGACGAGGAAUGUGAGAGAGCAGACAGCAACCUGAGUCGCUUCCGGGUAUGCUGGAUAAGGACCCGAGCUAAGGGAAUGGGCUGACUUUGUAGUGCCUGUCCCGAAUGGCUCAUUAAUGUAAAUUGAGAGUAUUGAAAGACACUAUGUCAGCAGUGAUGUAAUUUUGUAAAUGUUAUAUUGGGAUAUUGUUUCAUAAAAAAUGUGUUCCAAUGUAUAUACUUUAGUAUGUUUAGUUAAAUGGAAAAUGUAGAUUUGAAUAAGUAAUUGCUUAAUUAAUUAGUGUUAAUUGUUCUGAGGGGAG
rnacentral:lncRNA from 1 species